GACGGGUCGAGAGAACCGAAUAAAAUACCCUAUGGGAAAUAAGUUCCGCCGCCUGAUUGCGGUAGUUGAAGCCCGUCGCCUACUA
rnacentral:ncRNA from 1 species